rnacentral:tRNA from 1 species
GGAGAGGUCGUCCAAGAACUAGGACCCUACAUAGUAAGUAGGAAAUGGGGGUGCGAAUCCCUCCCUCUCUG